GGUUGUGGCUCAGUGGUAGAGCACUCGCCUUGCAUGUGCAAGGCCCUAGGUUUGAUCCUCAGCACCA
rnacentral:tRNA from 1 species